AGAACAGUUACAUAAGCUUGGAAGGAGACCUUUCCCCAGAUGGGCCAUAGCCUGGGCCAUCACCUACAUCUGGACUGAAGAACCAGAGAAACUGCUCCAUCAGGAAUCGUUUGGGACCGUGGGUUCUGUUGACACUCACAUUGUGUAAUUAUGUUGCCCACUGCCAACCCUAAAGCCACCAAGGUAGCAGGUUUCAAAUAAUUCAUCAGUGAAUUCUCCUCAACCUGGUCAAUCAUGUGAACUUAGAAGAUGAUUCCUCCCCAGCUGAUCCUCAGGUGAGACCUCAGCCUUGGCCAUCAUCUAUAUCUGGAUU
rnacentral:lncRNA from 10 species